GUCAGCAGCCAUACCACCUGCAUCUCUAAGUUAUCCACCUGAAGGUAAGCAGGUUUGGGCCAGACCAGUACCUGGAUUGAAGAACAUUGGGGAAAGAGGUGUUGGUGUUG
rnacentral:rRNA from 1 species